CCCCUAGACGUUCUGGGCUGCACGCGCGCUACAAUAAUACGCACAGCGAGUAUCACCAAGCUCGAUAGGGCAAGGUAAACAACAGAAAGGGUACUGUAAUGGUUAUAGAUCCUUGUAAUUAUUGAUCUUCAACGAGGAAUUCCUAGUAAGUUUGUGUCAUCAUCACGCACUGAUUACGUCCCUGCCCUUUGUACACACCGCCCGUCGCUCCUACCGAUUGAUUGAUCCGGUGAAUUACAUAGAAUUUUGCGUUUUACAUGACGGAAGAUGAAGUGUUUUAAACCUUAUCAUUUAGAGGAAGGAGAAGUCGUAACA
rnacentral:rRNA from 1 species